GGGAAUGUGGCUCAGUGGUAGAGUGCUUGCCUAGCAUGCAUGAUGCCCUGGGUUUGAUUCCUCAGUACUA
rnacentral:tRNA from 1 species